GACGAACGCUGGCGGCGUGCCUAAUACAUGCAAGUAGAACGCUGAAGGAUGAGCUUGCUCUUCUGGAUGAGUUGCGAACUGGUGAGUAACGCGUAGUUAACCUGCCUGGUAUCGGGGGAUAACUAUUGGAAACGCUAGCUACUACCGCAUAACAGUAUAUGUUGCAUGUCAUUUGUUUAAAAUUUGCAUUUGCAUCACUACCAUAUGUCUCUGCGUUGUAUUAGCUAGUUGGUUGUGUAACGGCUCACCAAUGCGACGCUACAUAGCCGACCUGAGAGUGUGAGGGACCAAACUGAGACUGAGACACGGACCAGACGACUACGGGAGGCAGCAGAAGGGAACCGUCGGAAAGGGACAGAAGUCUGAACGAGCAAAGCCGCGGGAGUGAAGAAGGGUUUCGGAUCGUAAAGCUCUGUUGGAAGAGAAGAACGAGAGUGAGAGUGGAAAGUUCACAAUGUGACGGUAACUUACCAGAAAGAGACGGCUAACUACGUG
rnacentral:rRNA from 1 species